AUUGAACGCUGGCGGCAGGCUUAACACAUGCAGUCGAGCGGGGGAAGGUAGCUUGCUACCGGACCUAGCGGCGGACGGGUGAGUAAUGCUUAGGAAUCUGCCUAUUAGCGGGGGACAACAUCUCGAAAGGGAUGCUAAUACCGCAUACGUCCUACGGGAGAAAGCAGGGGAACUUCGGACCUUGCGCUAAUAGAUGAGCCUAAGUCGGAUUAGCUAGUUGGUGGGGUAAAGGCCUAGCAAGGCGACGAUCUGUAGCGGGUCUGAGAGGAUGAGCCGCCACACUGGGCCUGAGACACGGCGCAGACUCCUACGGGAGGCAGCAGUGGGGAAUAUUGGACAAUGGGGGGAACCCUGAUCCAGCCAUGCCGCGUGUGUGAAGAAGGCCUUAUGGUUGUAAAGCACUUUAAGCGAGGAGGAGGCUACUUUAGUUAAUACCUAGAGAUAGUGGACGUUACUCGCAGAAUAAGCACCGGCUAACUCUGUGCCAGCCGCCGCAGUAACAC
rnacentral:rRNA from 1 species